UGAAUCGACGAGAAUACAUCCUCCCUUCCCAUUACUUUCUCAGACGAUAGAUACUAUAUGAGCUCUUCCGUUCAGAAUUUCAAGGCUUGAAUUUACUAGCUGUUCAGCAAACGCAGAAUAUCAUCUUCGUCAGUAAAUGGCCUUGAAUCGGCAAUGUCUUCAGAAGGUAGCGUGAAGCCGGUGAAGGAGAAGGAGAGUCCCAAGCUGGCACUCGAAGCUCGGCUAAGGGCUGCACCGCUGCUCAAAUCAUCAAGAUCUAAAAUGAAAUGAACAAGAUCUGAAAUGAAAUUGAUGGACCUGGAGGGCUUGAGAUGGCUAGGGCUUCGAUUGAGAGGUAUGAUAAGGUAUGAAAUCACACUAGGACUUCGAUUGAGAGGUAUGAUAAGAUUUGGGAGUUCGAUUGAGAGAAGGAAUAAGGUCUGAGUAUAGGAUUUUUGUGGCUUAGAACUUAGAAGGAAGCAAGUGACGAAACCUUGUUUAAGUCUCGCCUUUUUAUUUUUUGGUCCGUGUUUUUAAAACUAAAA
rnacentral:lncRNA from 1 species